rnacentral:rRNA from 1 species
CCUACGGUGGGCAGCAGUGGGGAAUAUUGGACAAUGGGCGAAAGCCUGAUCCAGCCAUGCCGCGUGUGUGAAGAAGGCCUUCGGGUUGUAAAGCACUUUCAGUGGGGAAGAAAGUCUUGGGGCUAAUACCCUCGAGGAAGGACAUCACCCACAGAAGAAGCACCGGCUAACUCCGUGCCAGCAGCCGCGGUAAUACGGAGGGUGCGAGCGUUAAUCGGAAUUACUGGGCGUAAAGCGCGCGUAGGCGGUCUGAUAAGCCGGUUGUGAAAGCCCCGGGCUCAACCUGGGAACGGCAUCCGGAACUGUCAGGCUAGAGUGCAGGAGAGGAAGGUAGAAUUCCCGGUGUAGCGGUGAAAUGCGUAGAGAUCGGGAGGAAUACCAGUGGCGAAGGCGGCCUUCUGGACUGACACUGACGCUGAGGUGCGAAAGCGUGGGUAGCAAACAGGAUUAGAUACCCGAGUAGUC